GUACCUGCAGCCUCUCUGAGCUGUGGUUCCCCCGCCCCCCACUCAUUAACCCUGUGGGAUGUGGUCAGCCAGGUCUGUCCUCCUCAGAUCUGAUCUCGCUCCGCUCACUCUCUAGGUUCAGCGUCCCCUUCUCCCCUUGGCCUGGGAGGUCCCAGCGUCCUCCUCCCUCUGGGUCCCAGCCUCUCAGCAAGAACACUUACUCCGCUGAUGGUCCAUGGGACCCUGUGGGACCCUGUGGGACUUGGUCAGCCUUGCCCUGGGCUCCCGUCUCAGCUUCCUCAUGCAGAGCUGUGGCCCUGACCCCCUCCUGGGCCUUCUCCGUUGGCCUGGCUGUCCUGCUGUCCAUCAUCAGUGCAGGCACCUGGCUGAAAUCUGUCUUGAUCUCUUUCUCUUUUUCACUGAUGUUCUUAUCCGUUUUCUAAUCUUGUCCUGCCUCCAACUUCUCCUUUAUGUUGUCUUCAAAUGUAAUUUUAUAAACUUCAAAUGGCAUAGAUAGAACAAAGCCGGAAUCAGCCGUGAUCCGGGAUGUCAGAGGGCAGGAUGCCCAACCUCUGCCCUGGGCUCACAGUUGAUGCCAAAUUGGAGACCCAGGUGCUCCUGGACAUUCAUGUGUGGCACCCUGACCUCAUGUCUCAUUUCUGUGCCCACUUGAUCUCCCCCUCAUUUGACCUGCUUGCUUGGAGGGUGGUGUCUAUGAGCAGCGUCUCCACGGAGGGAUGACAGGUGAAUGGGCUGAGUGAACGAGGAAGGAGAGGAGGAAAGUGGGUCUCCUCCCAGGGCUGUAGCUGGAUCUCACACAGGAGGGGGCACCUGUGCAGGGCAUCUUCUGCCCCUCAGUUCCCACUGGGUGCCCCCUGUAGGUCACUGACCCUUCUCUGGAGUCAUUUUAAAGGGGGUCAAGUUUUCUACUCCAUGGUGGAAAAUGCUGAGAACAUGAUUGCAGAGAGUAAAAACAGAGGGGCGACCCUGCAGUCCAUCAUUACAGUUGUAACUUAUGUAACCACAAAUGUAAGAACCAAUUGACUGAGGUGUGAACACACUUUGUGAGGUGCACAGGGUGAUCGGCAGGGUCAGAAUGGAAGGAGGGAACUGUAGGGAAUGACAGGCCCUGGUGAGGAGGGGCCAGGGGUUUGCUGAUCCUGUGUCUGACAGUUUGGGCACAGGUGGCCACAGGCAAAGGGGCCCCUCCUGAGCCAGGAUGCUUUAGGGCA
rnacentral:lncRNA from 1 species